GGUCAUUUGAAUGACUUCUCAGAAAUUUCAACUCAUGAGGUCAGUGGAUAUGAAAGUCUUCCACAGUUCCUUUGUACAAUGUUAGCUUUAAAUGGCUUUAUUCUUCUGUUGUUUUGAGACAGGGUCCCUCAACAUAGUCCUGGCUAUCUUGGAACUCACUGUAUAGAUCAGUAUGGUCUCAAACUCAUAGAAAUCCACCUGCCUCUACUACCUCCUGAGUGCUGGGACUAAAGUCAUGUACCACCACAGCCAGUCAAUAAAGCUUUAUUUUGAUGAUACAAUUACUUGUGUUAAAAAAGCUAGCAUUUAAAGAAAUGAAGUUGGUUGUGGCGUGAUCUCUGGGAAGAGAUGUUCAAGACCACAAUGUCUCCUGGAGCUGUCUUCUGAGAUGUUCAUCUGUGCCAGGUUGUGGGAAGGCAUUGAAUAUUAGAUCAAAGAGUACAAGACUUUGUCAGAAUACAAACAAUGCAAUGGAAGACCCAGAGCUUUGCACGCAUGUGCACCACUGGAUGCUAAGAGUAUCUGCAGCUGUUGCUCGAGGGUCUGGCAAAUUACUAGAUGUGUCAGGGGAAUUACAGGAUGCAACUCUUCGGAAUUAAGACCAGGAGUCCUUAAACUCUGCAAGCACUGAAUUCCUCCACAGGAGACUUUCAUCAGCUGUCAGAUUAAUCAAUUCUGAAGGCUUCCCAUUCUUCAUUUAUCUGCUUAUUAAAUUGUCCAAGAUCUGUGGGAUGAUGAAGUGGAUCACACUCCCCAAAAUAGCAGCUCAUCCUUUCUGCUUUCAUGCAGUUCAGUAACAACCUUAUUACUGAACACGACUUAACAGUGAAUUAUGUGCUCUCAGCAAACAGCCCACUUCAUGUGUCUACUGCUCACACAAGACUUCCCCACCAUGCACUGUCAGACCAUGGUCCUGUGUGGAAUUUUUGUUACCCUGUUUUAAAGUUACCUUCAAACCUACCUUCCAUCUCAUCAUGUUUAUCAGUCACUGCUGUGUAUGGCUGUGAAUGUGCCCUUAACCUCAUGUGUUGGAACACCCAGCUGCCAACUGAGGAUGCUGUUUUGAGAGGCUUCAGAGCAUCCAUACCACGACUGCACCCAUGGCUUCUAUUGCAGUUUCCUGGGUUCACAGCUGGCUGAGACUGAGGGUGGCUUUCUCCUCGAGAUGUCUGCCUAGGCCCUUCCUGUACUAUGAAACCAGACAGCAGGGAGGAGUCUUCCUGGUUAGUAAAAAUCUUGAUGCAUUCAUGGUCUGUGGCUGAAGUGUGUAGUAUCUUUAGAAAUGGGGUCUUACCAUUGAGUUCUGGUGGGGAACCAAGAAUGAUGGCAAUAGUUUCGGAAGUAGGGGUCUCUGGAAUAGCUCUGAUUGAUGACAACUUGAGACAUUUCACAGCUGGCACAGGGCUUUUUUAUUUGGCAACCUAUGGAUUCUGGGAGGAGCAUUUCCCUCUGUGUAGGGUAACCCCACUUAAAUGCUUUCAUAUGUAUUUAUACAUAUGUAGAUAUACACACACACAUACAUGAGUGCACACAUGCAUGUGUGUGUAUGAUAUUUAUAAAAUAGUAGGUUUCCAUAUGGCUCCCCACCUACUCCUCUGUUCUCCAUUUCCAUCCUCCUCCAAAUGAAAUUUCUCUCCCUGUUAUUCCUGUUUCCCCUUAAUAUCACAGUGCCAGGUGUGGGACGCAUCCUCUUGACUGGGAGGCUGUCCUGGAGACCUGCCCCCACCCCAAACAACACAGGCUGUUUCUGUCUCUUACUUUUAAAGACUUACUCCCACCUUUU
rnacentral:lncRNA from 1 species